GAGUUUGAUCAUGGCUCAGGAUGAACGCUGGCGGCGUGCUUAACACAUGCAAGUCGAACGAACCUUCGGGUUAGUGGCGGACGGGUGAGUAACGCGUGAGGAUCUGCCCUCAGGAGGGGGAUAACAGCUGGAAACGGCUGCUAAUACCCCAUAUGCCGCGAGGUGAAAUGAAUUUCGCCUGAGGAUGAGCUCGCGUCUGAUUAGCUAGUUGGUGUAGGUAAUGGCUCACCAAGGCUUCGAUCAGUAGCUGGUCUGAGAGGAUGAUCAGCCACACUGGGACUGAGACACGGCCCAGACUCCUACGGGAGGCAGCAGUGGGGAAUUUUCCGCAAUGGGCGAAAGCCUGACGGAGCAACGCCGCGUGAGGGAUGAAGGCCUCUGGGCUGUAAACCUCUUUUCUCAAGGAAGAAGAUCUGACGGUACUUGAGGAAUAAGCCACGGCUAAUUCCGUGCCAGCAGCCGCGGUAAUACGGGAGUGGCAAGCGUUAUCCGGAAUUAUUGGGCGUAAAGCGUCCGCAGGCGGCCCUUCAAGUCUGCUGUUAAAACGUGGAGCUUAACUCCAUCAUGGCAGUGGAAACUGUUGGGCUUGAGUGUGGUAGGGGCAGAGGGAAUUCCCGGUGUAGCGGUGAAAUGCGUAGAUAUCGGGAAGAACACCAGUGGCGAAGGCGCUCUGCUGGGCCAUAACUGACGCUCAUGGACGAAAGCCAGGGGAGCGAAAGGGAUUAGAUACCCCUGUAGUCCUGGCCGUAAACGAUGAACACUAGGUGUCGGGGGAAUCGACCCCCUCGGUGUCGUAGCCAACGCGUUAAGUGUUCCGCCUGGGGAGUACGCACGCAAGUGUGAAACUCAAAGGAAUUGACGGGGGCCCGCACAAGCGGUGGAGUAUGUGGUUUAAUUCGAUGCAACGCGAAGAACCUUACCAGGGUUUGACAUCCUGCGAACCUCUUGGAAACGAGAGGGUGCCUUCGGGAACGCAGUGACAGGUGGUGCAUGGCUGUCGUCAGCUCGUGUCGUGAGAUGUUGGGUUAAGUCCCGCAACGAGCGCAACCCACGUCUUUAGUUGCCAGCAUUUAGUUGGGCACUCUAGAGAGACCGCCGGUGAUAAACCGGAGGAAGGUGUGGAUGACGUCAAGUCAUCAUGCCCCUUACAUCCUGGGCUGCACACGUACUACAAUGCUACGGACAAAGGGCAGCAAGUUCGCGAGGACAAGCAAAUCCCAUAAACCGUGGCUCAGUUCAGAUCGUAGGCUGCAACUCGCCUACGUGAAGGAGGAAUCGCUAGUAAUCGCGUAACAGCAUGACGCGGUGAAUACGU
rnacentral:rRNA from 1 species